CCAAUCGAACUCGGAGAUAGCUGGUUCUCCCCGAAAUAGCUUUAGGGCUAGCCUCGAUUUAGAUUCAUGGGGGUAGAGCACUGAAUGGGCUAGGGGGCCACAAAGCUUACCGAACCCUAUCAAACUACGAAUACCAAGGAAUCGAUGAUCGGGAGUCAGACAGUGAGAGAUAAGUUCCAUUGUCGAGAGGGAAACAGCCCAGACCUACGACUAAGGUCCCAAAGUACACGUUAAGUGGAAAAGGAUGUGCAGUUGCACAGACAACCAGGAUGUUGGCUUAGAAGCAGCCAUACAUUUAAAGAGUGCGUAAUAGCUCACUGGUCGAGUGAAUGUGCGCCGAAAAUGUACCGGGGCUAAACGUGACACCGAAGUCUAGGGAUCAGAAAUGAUCGGUAGGGGAGCAACGUAUACGGGAAGAAGCGUAAGCGGAAGCGAGCGUGGACUGUAUGGGAGAGAGAAUGCCGGCAUGAGUAGCGAGAGCAAAGUGAGAAUCUUUGCCGUCGAAAGCCUAAGGUUUCCUGAGGUAGGCUCGUCCACUCAGGGUAAGUCGGGACCUAAGCCGAGGACAGAAGUCGUAGGCGAUGGAGAUCAGGUUGAUAUUCCUGAACCGUCUUUAGCGUUUGACAGAAGCAGUGACACAGAAGGAUAGACAGAGCGGAGGAAUGGAAGACUCCGUCCAAGCGUUGAGGCCGUAACGUAGUGAAGUACGCGUUGCAAGGCUGGGGCGUGAAGGGGACCGAAAAUAAGUAGGGAAGCUGUUGAAUUCACGCUGGCGAGAAAAGCUGCUAUGGAGCGAAAAGGCGCCCGUACCGCAAACCGACACAGGUAGGCGAGGAGAGAAUCCUAAGACGAGCGGGAGAACCCUUGUUAAGGAACUCGGCAAAAUGACCCCGUAACUUCGGGAGAAGGGGUGCCUCGAGAGAGGCCGCAGAGAAUAGGCCCAAGCGACUGUUUACCAAAAACACAGGUCUGUGCGAAGUAGAGAUACGACGUAUACGGGCUGACGCCUGCCCAGUGCCGGAAGGUUAAGGGGAAGUGUCAGGGGGAGACCCCGAAGCACGGAACUUAAGCCCCGGUGAACGGCGGCCGUAACUAUAACGGUCCUAAGGUAGCGAAAUUCCUUGUCGGGUAAGUUCCGACCCGCACGAAUGGCGUAACGACUUGGGCACUGUCUCAACAAGGGACCCGGCGAAAUUGUAGUAUGUGUGAAGAUGCACAUUACCCGCGAUAGGACGGAAAGACCCCGUAGAGCUUUACUGUAGUUUAAUAUUGGAUUUUGAUAACAUAUGUACAGGAUAGGUGGGAGACGGAGAAAUGAGGACGCCAGUCUUCAUGGAGUCAACCUUGGGAUACCACUCUUGUGUUAUUGGAAUUCUAACGAGAUGCCGUGAACCGGGUUUCGGACAGUGUUAGAUGGGCAGUUUGACUGGGGCGGUCGCCUCCGAAAGAGUAACGGAGGCGCCCAAAGGUUCCCUCAGAAUGGUUGGAAACCAUUCGCAGAGUGCAAAGGCAGAAGGGAGCUUGACUGCGAGACCGACAGGUCGAGCAGGUACGAAAGUAGGGCUUAGUGAUCCGGCGGUAUGAGAGUGGAAUUGCCGUCGCUCAACGGAUAAAAGCUACCUCGGGGAUAACAGGCUUAUCUCCCCCAAGAGUUCACAUCGACGGGGAGGUUUGGCACCUCGAUGUCGGCUCGUCGCAUCCUGGGGCUGGAGUAGGUCCCAAGGGUUUGGCUGUUCGCCAAUUAAAGCGGCACGCGAGCUGGGUUCAGAACGUCGUGAGACAGUUCGGUCCCUAUCCAUCGUGGGCGCAGGAGAUUUGAGAGGAGCUGUCCUUAGUACGAGAGGACCGGGAUGGACGCACCAAGGGUGAAUCAGUUGUCGCGCCAGCGGCACAGCUGGGUAGCCAAGUGCGGAUUGGAUAAACGCUGAAGGCAUCUAAGCGUGAAGCCAACCUCAAGAUAAGAUCUCCCAUCCGAAAGGAGUAAGACCCCAUGAAGACCACAUGGUUGAUAGGCCGGAGGUGGAAGUGCAGCAAUGUAUGAAGCUGACCGGUACUAAUAGGUCGAGGGCUUGAUCAA
rnacentral:rRNA from 1 species